rnacentral:rRNA from 1 species
UACAGAGGGUGCAAGCGUUAAUCGGAAUUACUGGGCGUAAAGCGUGCGUAGACGGUCAUGUAAGUCGGGUGUGAAAGCCUUGGGCUCAACCUGGGAAUUGCAUUCGAGACUGCAUGGCUAGGGUGCGGAAGAGGGAAGCGGAACUUCCGGUGUAGCGGUGAAAUGCGUAGAUAUCGAGAGGAACACCGGUGGCGAAGGCGGCCAACUGGACGAAUACUGACGCUGAGACUCGAAAGCGUGGGGAGCAAACAGG